rnacentral:rRNA from 1 species
GACGAACGCUGGCGGCGCGCUUAACACAUGCAAGUCGAACGGAAAGGCCUGCUUUCCCUUGUGGAUUGCGGGUACUCGAGUGGCGAACGGGUGAGUAACACGUGAGUGAUCUGCCCCCAACUUGGGUAUAAGCCUGGGAAACUGGGUCUAAUUCCCGAUAGGACUGCAGGGUGGUGCCUGUGGUGGCAAACGAUUUUCUAGUGGUUGGGGAUGAGCUCGCGGCCUAUCAGCUUGUUGGUGGGGUAAUGGUCUACCAAGGCGGGGACGGGUAGCCGGCCUGGGGGGGUGGACGGCCACAGUGGGACGGAGAUACGGCCAAGACGCCUACGGGAGGCAGCAGUGGGGAAGAUUGCGCGAUGGGCGGAAGCCUGAUGGAGCGACGCCGCGUGGGGGAUGACGGCCUUCGGGUGGUAAACUCCUUUCGACCGCGAGGAAGCCACCUGGAUGGAAGGGUGGUGACGGUAGUGGUAGAAGAAGCACCGGCUAACUACGUG